rnacentral:tRNA from 1 species
GGUAGCAUGACUGACUGGUCUAAGGUGCUGGAUUAAGGCUCCAGUCUCUUUGGGGGCAUGGGUUUGAAUCCCACUGCUGCCA